GGGAUGAGAUUCACCUGUGGGACUGUCAUCAUUCCCUGAAGAAACACACUGACUGCUCUCAUGCUGGAGUCACCUGUGCAGACGUAUCUGCAUCCACCACUUCUACAACCAAAUCAACAACAAUCUCCACCACAACAGCCAGAAGAACCAGG